UACGUAGGGUGCGAGCGUUAAUCGGAAUUACUGGGCGUAAAGUGUGCGAAGGCGGCAGAGCAAGUCGAGUGUGAAAGCCCCGGGCUUAACUUGGGAAUUGCGCUCGAAACUACUUUGCUGGAGUGUGGCAGAGGAAGGUGGAAUUCCACGUGUAGCGGUGAAAUGCGUAGAGAUGUGGAGGAACACCAAUGGCGAAGGCAGCCUUCUGGGCCAACACUGACGCUCAUGCACGAAAGCGUGGGGAGCAAACAGG
rnacentral:rRNA from 1 species